rnacentral:rRNA from 1 species
UGCCAGCCGCCGCGGUAAUACGAAGGUGGCUAGCGUUGUUCGGAAUCACUGGGCAUAAAGCGCGCGUAGGCGGCUUGGUCAGUCAGUUGUGAAAUCCCUCAGCUUAACUGAGGAACUGCGACUGAAACUGCCAGGCUUGAGGCUUGGAGGGGGAUGCGGAAUUCUCGGUGGAGCGGUGAAAUGCGUAGAGAUCGAGAGGAACGCCGGUGGCGAAAGCGGCAUCCUGGACAAGUUCUGACGCUGAGGUGCGAAAGCUAGGGGAGCAAACGGGAUUAGAUA